UCCUACGGGGGGCAGCAGUGGGGAAUAUUGGACAAUGGGGGAAACCCUGAUCCAGCGACGCCGCGUGAGUGAAGAAGUAUUUCGGUACGUAAAGCUCUAUCAGCAGGGAAGAAGAAAGACGGUACCUGACUAAGAAGCCCCGGCUAACUACGUGCCAGCAGCCGCGGUAAUACGUAGGGGGCAAGCGUUAUCCGGAUUUACUGGGUGUAAAGGGAGCGUAGACGGCUGUGCAAGUCUGAAGUGAAAGCCCGUGGCUCAACCGCGGAACUGCUUUGGAAACUGUAUAGCUUGAGUACUGGAGAGGC
rnacentral:rRNA from 1 species